AGCUUCCCACAGAGCAAAGUAAUGAAGGCGCUAACGAUUUCAGCCAUUGGGAUUUGAAAAUGGAAUGAUCGUUUCUUUGUUCAGGGUUUUGGCUUGAAAGGAAAGGUUAAGCGAAAGGUUUUGGCCUCAUAGAUAUCGGGUUCCUUCUUCUGGGUGCCUUUGGUUAGUGAGAACUUGUUAUCUGUCAUAGAUGUGGCCCUACUUAGUUUAGUUAGAAGCUAUAUAGAUGAUUCUUCAAUUGCUAUUUAAUAGUAUCAAAGAAGAUAGAUUCUUGAUACAACUGUUGAAAGGUCUAUGAACCAGUUGAUUGCUUUAGUACCAAAAGAAAUUCCAAGAUUAACCCUUAGAUUCUUUCCAUUUUUCGAUCCAUCCCCUUUUCCAUAUAAUCCACCCCCUGCAGCUGUUGCAAAUCCAUUUCUUUUCACUGAUGCUGAGUAUGGGUUUUUAGCUCGUGGGUUAAUGGAGUAUAAUACAAACACUUUCUACCCUACAAAACUCUACAUCAGGCAAGUUUCUAUUUUUCUUAAUUUCUUUUUAUUGUCAGUAUCAAAAGUGAUGAUUUUCUUAUCAUCGUAUCGCAUAUCACAUUGUGAGGGUUCAUCAAAAGCAUGAAAAUGAUGUUGCUCCUGCCUUCACCACUGUACAACUCAAGUGUUACAUUUAAGUUGCCAAGUCUAAAAAGCCAAAGCUAUGUGCAGAAGCAAGAAAAUUUUUGGUUGAUUCUUAUGUUGCUCUUCCUAGAGGAGAUACAACUCCAGGAAGUAGAGUUGCAUAUAGCAUGACAGUUAGACAGUUAGAGGCUCUAAUCAGAUUUUUAGAGGCAAUUUCCAGGUGUCACCUCGAUGAUGAGGUUCACCCUGGCCAUGUUAAAUUAGCAACAAGACUUCUAAAAACUUCAGUAAUCAG